AAUCCCGUGAACCAUCGAGUCUUUGAACGCAAGUUGCGCCCGAAGCCUUCGGGCCGAGGGCACGCCUGCCUGGGCGUCACGCAUCGCGUCGCCCCCCGCCCCUGAGGGGUGCGCGGAGAAUGGCCUCCCGUGCGCCUCGGCGCGCGGCCGGCCC
rnacentral:rRNA from 1 species